rnacentral:tRNA from 1 species
AAGACUUUAAGUUAAAAAAACUAUAUACCUUCAAAGUAUAAAAUAUAUAUUUUAAGUCUUA